GAUGAACGCUGGCGGCGUGCUUAACACAUGCAAGUCGAACGAAGCACCUCUCCCGAAGCUUGACACAGCUUGCUGUAGAUUGAUUCAUUUGAGGUGACUGAGUGGCGGACGGGUGAGUAACGCGUGGGUAACCUGCCUCAUAGAGAGGGACAACAGUUGGAAACGACUGCUAAUACCGCAUAGUAAGAAGAAUUCGCAUGUUUUCUUCUUGAAAGAUUUAUCGCUAUGAGAUGGACCCGCGUCUGAUUAGCUAGUUGGUAAGGUAACGGCUUACCAAGGCGACGAUCAGUAGCCGGCUUGAGAGAGUGAACGGCCACAUUGGGACUGAGACACGGCCCAAACUCCUACGGGAGGCAGCAGUGGGGAAUAUUGCACAAUGGGGGAAACCCUGAUGCAGCGACGCCGCGUGAGUGAAGAAGUAUUUCGGUAUGUAAAGCUCUAUCAGCAGGGAAGAUAAUGACGGUACCUGACUAAGAAGCCCCGGCUAACUACGUG
rnacentral:rRNA from 1 species